GCUGGGCGCGGUGGCGCAAGCCUGUAAUCCCAGCUACUCGGGAGGCUAAGGCUGGAGGCAGGGGUUCUGGGCUGUAGUGCGCGAUGCUGAUCGGGUGUCCGCACUAAGUUCGGCAUCAAUAUGGUGACCUCCCGGGAGUGGGGGACCACCAGGUUGCCUAAGGAGGGGUGAACCGGCCCAGGUCGGAAACGGAGCAGGUCAAAACUCCCAUGCUGAUCAGUAGUGGGAUCGCGCCUGUGAAUAGCCACUGUUCUCCAGCCUGGGCAACAUAUAUAUAUUUU
rnacentral:SRP_RNA from 1 species